rnacentral:rRNA from 1 species
CCGGCUAACUACGUGCCAGCAGCCGCGGUAAUACGUAGGGUGCAAGCGUUAUCCGGAAUUAUUGGGCGUAAAGGGCUCGUAGGCGGUUCGUCGCGUCCGGUGUGAAAGUCCAUCGCUUAACGGUGGAUCUGCGCCGGGUACGGGCGGGCUGGAGUGCGGUAGGGGAGACUGGAAUUCCCGGUGUAACGGUGGAAUGUGUAGAUAUCGGGAAGAACACCAAUGGCGAAGGCAGGUCUCUGGGCCGUUACUGACGCUGAGGAGCGAAAGCGUGGGGAGCGAACAGGAUUAGAUACCCUGGUAGUCCACGCCGUAAACGGUGGAUGCUGGAUGUGGGGCCCGUUCCACGGGUUCCGUGUCGGAGCUAACGCGUUAAGCAUCCCGCCUGGGGAGUACGGCCGCAAGGCUAAAACUCAAAGAAAUUGACGGGGGCCCGCACAAGCGGCGGAGCAUGCGGAUUAAUUCGAUGCAACGCGAAGAACCUUACCUGGGCUUGACAUGUUCCCGACAGCCGUAGAGAUAUGGCCUCCCUUCGGGGCGGGUUCACAGGUGGUGCAUGGUCGUCGUCAGCUCGUGUCGUGAGAUGUUGGGUUAAGUCCCGCAACGAGCGCAACCCUCGCCCUGUGUUGCCAGCACGUCAUGGUGGGAACUCACGGGGGACCGCCGGGGUCAACUCGGAGGAAGGUGGGGAUGACGUCAGAUCAUCAUGCCCCUUACGUCCAGGGCUUCACGCAUGCUACAAUGGCCGGUACAACGGGAUGCGACACGGCGACGUGGAGCGGAUCCCUGAAAACCGGUCUCAGUUCGGAUUGGAGUCUGCAACCCGACUCCAUGAAGGCGGAGUCGCUAGUAAUCGCGGAUCAGCAACGCCGCGGUGAAUGCGUUCCCGGGCCUUGUACACACCGCCCGUCAAGUCAUGAAAGUGGGUAGCACCCGAAGCCGGUGGCCUAACCCUUUGUGGAUGGAGCCGUCUAAGGUGAGACUCGUGAUUGGGACUAAGUCGUAACAAGGUAGCCGUACCGGAAGGUGCGGCUG